rnacentral:rRNA from 1 species
GAUGAACGCUGGCGGCGUGCCUAAUACAUGCCAGUCGAGCGAACGGACGAGAAGCUUGCUUCUCUGAUGUUAGCGGCGGACGGGUGAGUAACACGUGGAUAACCUACCUAUAAGACUGGGAUAACUUCGGGAAACCGGAGCUAAUACCGGAUAAUAUUUUGAACCGCAUGGUUCAAAAGUGAAAGACGGUCUUGCUGUCACUUAUAGAUGGAUCCGCGCUGCAUUAGCUAGUUGGUAAGGUAACGGCUCACCAAGGCAACGAUGCAUAGCCGACCUGAGAGGGUGAUCGGCCACACUGGAACUGAGACACGGUCCAGACUCCUACGGGAGGCAGCAGUAGGGAAUCUUCCGCAAUGGGCGAAAGCCUGACGGAGCAACGCCGCGUGAGUGAUGAAGGUCUUCGGAUCGUAAAACUCUGUUAUUAGGGAAGAACAUAUGUGUAAGUAACUGUGCACAUCUUGACGGUACCUAAUCAGAAAGCCACGGCUAACUACGUG